rnacentral:rRNA from 1 species
UACGUAGGGUGCGAGCGUUAAUCGGAAUUACUGGGCGUAAAGCGUGCGCAGGCGGUUGUGCAAGUCAGAUGUGAAAUCCCCGGGCUCAACCUGGGAACUGCAUUUGUGACUGCACGGCUGGAGUGCGGCAGAGGGGGAUGGAAUUCCGCGUGUAGCAGUGAAAUGCGUAGAUAUGCGGAGGAACACCGAUGGCGAAGGCAAUCCCCUGGGCCUGCACUGACGCUCAUGCACGAAAGCGUGGGGAGCAAACAGG